rnacentral:tRNA from 1 species
GCCAGCGUAGCUCAGAGGUAGAGUACUUCCUUGGUAAGGAAGGGGUCAUGGGUUCAAUUCCCAUCGCCGGCU